CUACUCUCUCAGGCUUCCACCCAUCGUAUCCGCUUCUGUAUAAAUACAAAUAACAUAUCUGAUACGUACAUGGACCAUAUAUCUCAAACGUAUCGCCGGAGCACCGCUCGAAUGUCCUCGUCGACGGAUCAUCUAUCCUCGAAAUCGAACCUGAUUGCCGUAAGCAUCGCCGAAGGAGAUACUGAUUUGAUCUCGAGUGUAUCGAACGGAAGAACAGCUCGUCGUGAUCUCCACGGUGAAUGAACAGGUUUCAUUUCGAUUUUGAUCUUGCGUCAUCAGCUUUAUCUGUCCAGCUGUUAACUGUUAAGGGAGUGUGUUUGGGAUUUGCUUAUUUAAUACAACUUAUGUUCUUUUUUUCUUUGUAAAAGUGCUUAUUAGCUUAUGUGUAUAAUUAUGUAGUUUAGAGCAAAAAAUGUUUGAAUCAACUUAUGCCAUAUCAAAACACAAACUUUGCCAUAUCAAAACACAGUAAAGUGAUAGGUUGUAUUUUAGUGUUUUGCAAAUUCUGCUUA